CAGGGAGACAACAAAAUGUUUAAUAUUAUUAUUUUGUCACCUUAGGUCGAUCGGUAUCUCACGUUUUUAAUUUAUUAAGAAUUUCAUUUCCUAAGUUUUUCUAGGUCACACCCAUAUUUUUCCUGGGCCAUUAGCUCAGGUGGUUAGAGCGCACCCCUGAUAAGGGUGAGGUCCCUGGUUCAAGUCCAGGAUGGCCCAUAUCUCUAUGUUGGGGGUAUAGCUCAGUUGGUAGAGCGCCUGCUUUGCAAGCAGGAUGUCAGCGGUUCGAGUCCGCUUACCUCCACUGAUUACCACCUCUUCCAUAACCGGUAGAAAGGAAAUUUUUUGAGUUGUGACCAAAUUCUGAAAGAAUCUAGCUUCCUAAUGAAAUCAUUAAGAUGCUGGACUCAUUGAAUUUAAUUUCAUUGUUUUCAGAGAACCUUGACAACUGCAUAGAUUAUUUUUAAAGACAAUAAGCAUCUUUAAUGAUGCAGAUUUAUUAUUUGUGCGAAUGCAUUAAUAACAAUUCUAUUAAGCUGAUGCUUCAAUUUUGAAGUUAUU
rnacentral:tRNA from 1 species